GGGAAAUUUCGGAUGGAACUAACUAGUGGCGGACGGGUGAGUAACGCGUGGAUAACCUGCCUCACACUGGGGGAUAGCAGCUGGAAACGGCUGGUAAUACCGCAUAAGACCACAGCACCGCAUGGUGCGAAGGGGGUAAAAAGAUUUUAUCGGUGUGAGAUGGAUCCGCGUCUGAUUAGCCAGUUGGCGGGGUAACGGCCCACCAAAGCGACGAUCAGUAGCCGGCCUGAGAGGGUGAACGGCCACGUUGGGACUGAGACACGGCCCAAACUCCUACGGGAGGCAGCAGUAGGGAAUUUUCGGCAAUGGGGGAAACCCUGACCGAGCAACGCCGCGUGAACGACGAAGUACUUCGGUAUGUAAAGUUCUUUUAAGAGGGAAGAAUGGCCCGUGGAAAAGCGGGCGUGACGGUACCUUUUGAAUAAGCCCCGGCUAACUAUGUGCCAGCCGCCGC
rnacentral:rRNA from 1 species